CCCUUUCAUUUUCAUAAACCAAUGAUUGUGAAAGAAUACAUAUUUAAGCAAAUGUGUACUUUACACAUCUACGCAUACCUUUUUCUCUGGUAUUGGCGAUGGCUCUAAAUUGGAUUAAGGAUCUGAAAACGGUACUUUUUACUGAGUAUCCAAGCUUUACUUUUAUUGUUAGCCUCGUGAUACUGGAGAAGUUACUUGAGAUAGAGUUUUUGUGUCCCUGCAAUGGAAAUUAUUUGAAUUCAUUAUUAACAAGUUUUAUCUUUUUAUUUCCAGCCGCAUUAUUAUUCGUACUCACGCUUAAAACAAGCGAAACUUGUACAAUUCAAUGUAAAAUAUGUAAAACUUGUCCAAUUAAAUGUGGUAGUAAAUGCGAAACUUCUUCAAGUAAAUGUUGUAAUACAAUCAAAACUUUUAUAAUUGAACAUUGUACAAUUCAAAGCUUUUAUCUUCCAUUUGCGUGGGCGAUCGUGUUGUUAUAUGAUGGAAGAUAUGUGUCUUGUGCAUGUACGGACUGGAAAGGACUGUAUGUCUUCAUGGACAACAGUAAUCAGAAAUGGUGUGAACCACGUCCUGAAGAUGGAUAUAAUUCCACGGAACUGAGGCUUAAGACUCAGGAAUAUUUUGCAUAUUCUCAGAUCGCAUCCUUAGGCUGUCUUUCUGUCGUGAUUCUGGUACUAUCUAUCUACAAGAUGAGCCACUGUACCUGCUCUGAAAAACAGAACUCCCAGUCCGACCCUGCUGAUGCUACUCCCACCACGAUACCACUAAUGCCCCAAUGAGCACCAAUGGAUUUUAAAUACAUCAAAAGGUGUCACUCUGCAGCCGGUAAUCAGAACUUUGUGGUACCGACAUUAACCACAAUUUUAUUAAUAUUCUGACCCAGCUAAGCAUUGCCUGUCUUCUUAUUUGCAUUGCAGUUGCUGUGUUUUGUGCAUGAACCUGGUACUCUGCUAAACUGAUAAAUGUAAUAUAAAUGUUCUCUUUUAACUAGAUGUUCUUUUAGAUUCUUUUGUACAGCAUGAUUUGUUAGUGAGCAGUAUUCAAACCGUAUGUUAUUUGUGUAUGUCAUGUUCUGUAGGCAUUGUGUGGUCUGGUAAUUUUUAUAUCCAUUCAACAUGCCAGAAGACAAGUUUUCAUUCGACAUGUUACUUUGAUUUUCUAGAAUUUAUAAUUAUUACACAGUUGUAUUUCUAAAUUUUACAAUGCACAAAACAUUCAGUUUGCCUUUUAAUUGUUGCAUUUAUGCAUUCAAGUUUGAUUAAUGUUCCUGAAAUACUGCAGAACAGUUGACAAAAAUGUCAGGGUCAGCGCCCAUCCCACUCUGCCCUUCAAGUCUCCUUCCUGUUUGGCCAGCAGGUGUCGCUGGCCAUCCUGUCCUCUUCCCUGUCUCUUGCCCUUCAGCCCCAGUGUGCCUAAGUCCCUAGUGUGUUUCCCUGUUACCUGGACUGCUGUAUAGCUCAGUAGGCUGAGUAUGUGGCUCAGACUAUCAUCCCUUCUUGGAAAAUGCAGACUCAUUGUGAAGUACAGAGAUCGCUUGUUGACAGCGAUUGCUGCAGAAGGUGGUGCCACAAAAUAUUAAAUUAAGGGCACCAUUGUUUUUGUCCAUGCCAUUUGCAUUUGAUUAAUUAUAUAAAAUAUUCAGCUGAAUGAAUAAUUAAAAGCAAAGUCUGAUUUGUGUUAAAUAUGGAUUAAACAAUAAAUUAAUCCUUUUACUGUAAUAUUCUGGGAGAUCGUAAUUGUGGAUUAAUUCUGAUCGUGUGGAGACUGAUCGUCCUGAAGAUCAAUCGUCCAUGAUUCACCCGGAAUGUCAUUGAACAUGUUAUUCUUUGCCGAUCCCCUGCAAACCCUGUCCUGCCAUAAAGAACUUGGGCUCAUAAAAGAAGCCAGGAUGUUUAUUGAGGGCAGCUAGGCCCUGUGCUAAACUUUGUCACCCGGAGAAAUGGGAACAAACUGGAACAUAGGCAGGGAAGAGAAGGGGGGCGCUGGGCCGCCUCGUAAUGCCAGUAAAUUUCGGAAAGCCGAAGGCACACGGAUAGGGUCAGGGUGACAUUAAGCUGAUGCUGCGGAAUUGGAACAUAACAAGAUAAGAGAAAAGGAAGAGAGUGGGGACUAACGCCAGAACUUUCAAAACAAUAGUUUUGAACCUGGAAUGGUACCAACAAGAAGGCAGACGCCCUGUUUGGCUUAUAAAAACCAGACACUGACCAUAGAGAGACAGCUUCCCUUGGUGUGUACUUUUGUGCAUCUGAGGGUGGCUCCCGGAUUGCAAUCUGUGCUGAGAAUAAAGAGAGCUGACGUGCAACUA